rnacentral:rRNA from 1 species
GACGAACGCUGGCGGCGUGCUUAACACAUGCAAGUCGAACGAAAAGAGGGAAAGAGCUUGCUCUUUCCGGAAUUGAGUGGCAAACGGGUGAGUAACACGUAAACAACCUGCCUUCAGGAUGGGGACAACAGACGGAAACGACUGCUAAUACCGAAUAAGUUCCAAGAGCCGCAUGGCCCAUGGAAGAAAAGGUGGCCUCUACCUGUAAGCUAUCGCCUGAAGAGGGGUUUGCGUCUGAUUAGCUGGUUGGAGGGGUAACGGCCCACCAAGGCGACGAUUAGUAGCCGGUCUGAGAGGAUGAACGGCCACACUGGAACUGUGACACGGUCCAGACUCCUACGGGAGGCAGCAGUGGGGAAUCUUCCGCAAUGGGCGAAAGCCUGACGGAGCAACGCCGCGUGAGUGAUGACGGCCUUCGGGUUGUAAAACUCUGUGAUCCGGGACGAAAAGGCAGAGUGCGAAGAACAAACUGCAUUGACGGUACCGGAAAAGCAAGCCACGGCUAACUACGUG